rnacentral:lncRNA from 1 species
UCAAAAUUGCAUAGUUUGGGUAACCCAAAACCCUUAAGCUGACCUUUCUUGUCAUAACACGAAUGUUUUCCAGAAAGGGACACGCGGUAAUGUCGGUGUCUCUCGUGUGCAGGCAUUUUUCCAGGUAAAACCCUCGCGUGGAAUCAACUCAUGUUUAAUUUAACGCUCCUUUUAUGCGCACAAUGUAAGCCAAAGCAAUUUUAUAGUUAAACGUAAAGAUCAGAAUAUUUUCUUCUAAGGAUGAUAAAUGAUCGACGCUGAACUAAAUUAUACGUUGAAGAAAAUGCAAAACGGCAUAACAUGUAAAAGAGGAAAUUUGGAAAAAUACGAAGUUACGGAAACCAUGAAAAUCUUCGAUUUUUAAGAAAGGAAAUUUUUAUAAUUCCAAGCUAAGUAAGCUUUUCUAGUGUUUCAUUCUUUAAGGCUUUGUGUAGAGCGGGGCCUUUGUUUUAUAAACCGUAAAACUUAGUGACAAGUCGAAAGGGCUCGCUCUUGGUUAUGAUACCAAAGAGUAGAGGGACACCACGGUGAUCUUCCAGGUGUUUGAUCAUCGUCGCCGCUCGUGGUGUACUUCGCUACUUAGUGGCGGCUUUAACGCUCGUCCAUAUUCAGCGCUUAUCCUAAACAUGCAUGGCAUCUCUAGCUAUCUACAAGACACGCUGCGAUGUAUUAUUCGUCCAUGUUCAACACAACAACUGCGCUAGUGAGAUAGAGAAUCGAAAGAUCACAUUGUUGCGCUCGAGGCAGAGUGCGCUAAGUUUGCCAAGUUCUACAAUGGACAACAGAUCGUACGGCCUCCCGCAAGAAUAAGGACAAGGUCUAUCAGUUACAAGCAAUGGAUAAGUGGAAUUGUAAAAAGUUUUAAUUCGUCCGUGCAUCGAAAGGCCGAUGGUAUGUAAUUUUGCUCUUUUCCGUUCUUCACACACUCGAAUAGCUGUUAAAAUUAAAUUUAAUUGCGGGUUGUGCAGUCAAAAUGUAACGUCGCCCAACAUGGUUUUAGUUAAACCAGUGUCUUCUGAGGCGCUUCCACCAAAAUAAUUUAGAAGGGAACAACAGCGCUAACCGAUUUAAUAUCUUCUCAAGAACAUGUCAAAGUCUAUUAAAACGCAGAAAUUAAAAAUAGUAAGAAUUGGUGGUUCAUGUUAAAAAUCAUUAAAGAACAGUUCUCA